rnacentral:rRNA from 1 species
GCCCAGAUGGGAUUAGCUUGUUGGUGAGGUAACGGCUCACCAAGGCGACGAUCCCUAGCUGGUCUGAGAGGAUGACCAGCCACACUGGAACUGAGACACGGUCCAGACUCCUACGGGAGGCAGCAGUGGGGAAUAUUGCACAAUGGGCGCAAGCCUGAUGCAGCCAUGCCGCGUGUAUGAAGAAGGCCUUCGGGUUGUAAAGUACUUUCAGCGGGGAGGAAGGUGUUGUGGUUAAUAACCGCAGCAAUUGACGUUACCCGCAGAAGAAGCACCGGCUAACUCCGUGCCAGCAGCCGCGGUAAUACGGAGGGUGCAAGCGUUAAUCGGAAUUACUGGGCGUAAAGCGCACGCAGGCGGUCUGUCAAGUCGGAUGUGAAAUCCCCGGGCUCAACCUGGGAACUGCAUUCGAAACUGGCAGGCUUGAGUCUUGUAGAGGGGGGUAGAAUUCCA